AAACCAACAGGGAUUGCCUCAGUAACGGCGAGUGAAGCGGCAAAAGCUCAAAUUUGAAAUCUGGCACUCUCAGUGUCCGAGUUGUAAUUUGAAGAAGGAUUUCUGGGCUCGGUCUCCUGUCUAUGUUCCUUGGAACAGGACGUCACAGAGGGUGAGAAUCCCGUCUGGCGGGGGUUUCCGUUUCCAUGUAGAUUUCCUUCGAAGAGUCGAGUUGUUUGGGAAUGCAGCUCUAAGUGGGUGGUAAAUUCCAUCUAAAGCUAAAUACUGGCGAGAGACCGAUAGCGAACAAGUACAGUGAUGGAAAGAUGAAAAGAACUUUGAAAAGAGAGUGAAAAAGUACGUGAAAUUGUUGAAAGGGAAGGAUAUUCGAUCAGACUUGGUGUUGCGUGAUUAUCUUCUCUUCUUGAGUUGUGCACUCGCGCUUCACUGGGCCAGCAUCGGUUCGGGUGGUAAGAUAAUGGCCUGGGAACGUGGCUCGCCUCGGCGAGUGUUAUAGCCCACGGUUGAUGUUGCCUACCUGGACCGAGGACUGCGGCUUCUGCCUAGGAUGCUGGCGUAAUGAUCCAAUAUCGC
rnacentral:rRNA from 1 species